rnacentral:ncRNA from 1 species
CUGAAUAGCAAUCAUGAAGGUGCUUAUGUCUAAGAACAUGAGUUAAAAGGGAAGCCGGUGCAAUUCCGGCGCGGUCCCGCCACUGUAUGUGAGAGCGAACUGCAAGGCCACUGGGAGAUCCCGGGAAGGCGCAGCAAGCGAUGACCACAAGCCAGGAGACCUGCCUUCAUGAACACCGAACC